CCUACGGGAGGCAGCAGUGAGGAAUAUUGGUCAAUGGGCUUACGCCUGAACCAGCCAAGUCGCGUGAGGGAAGACUGCCCUAUGGGUGGUAAACCUCUUUUGUCAGGGAGCAACGCCGGCUACGUGUAGCCGGACUGAGAGUACCUGAAGAAAAAGCAUCGGCUAACUCCGUGCCAGCAGCCGCGGUAAUACGGAGGAUGCGAGCGUGAUCCGGAUGUAUUGGGUUUAAAGGGAGCGUAGGUGGAUUGUUAAGUCAGUUGUGAAAGUUUGCGGCUCAACCGUAAAAUUGCAGUUGAAACUGGCAGGCUUGAGGACAGUAGAGGUGGGCGGAAUUCGUGGUGUAGCGGUGAAAUGCUUAGAUAUCACGAAGAACUCCGAUUGCGAAGGCAGCUCACUGGACUGCAACUGACACUGAGGCUCGAAAGUGUGGGUAUCAAACAGGAUUAGAUACCCUUGUC
rnacentral:rRNA from 1 species